GAUGAACGCUAGCUACAGGCUUAACACAUGCAAGUCGAGGGGCAGCAUGAGAUUAGCUUGCUAAUCUUGAUGGCGACCGGCGCACGGGUGAGUAACGCGUAUCCAACCUUCCCCCUACUCAGGCAUAGCCCGGUGAAAACCGGAUUAACUCCUGAUAGUUUCACUAGAUGGCAUCUGACGGUGAAUAAAGCUCAGCGGUAAGGGAUGGGGAUGCGUCUGAUUAGCUUGUUGGCGGGGUAACGGCCCACCAAGGCGACGAUUGGUAGCCGGACUGAGAGGUUGAACGGCCACAUUGGGACUGAGACACGGCCCAGACUCC
rnacentral:rRNA from 1 species